rnacentral:lncRNA from 1 species
UUCCUCACUAGUCAAGUUCCUCGCUAGUCCUCUGACCUGGCAUUCAUCCCAAUAGGAUCUAAUCUGUGACCUAAGGCUGGCAGGGCUGUGAGCUUUCUCUGUUCAUUUCCCUCUGCAUUUUCUACUUUUACAGGAAAUACCUCCAAAAAAGUGUAGCUCCCUUCCACAGAAAAGCUGCUGGUUUCAUGGCCAGCCCUGAUCUUGUGAAACACCUUGCCAACUGAGCUGGAGAGGGCACAGAAGUAGCUUCAAGUAUUACAAGAAAUGAAGCAGUAUCUUCAAACAUACUUUCUGGUGCCCAAAUGAGAGAGUUUUUGCCAAUAUGCCAAUAUUCUGGCUGUGUGUGGUGGCUCAUGCCUGUAAUCCGAGCACUUUGGAAGGCCGAGACAGGUGGAUCACCUGAGGUCAGGAGUUUGUGGCCACCCUGGACAACAUGGCAAAACCCCAUCUCUACUAAAAAUACAAAAAUUAGCAGGUGUUGUGGCACUCAUCUGUAAUCCUAGGUACUCCGGAGGGUGAGACAGCAGCAUUGCUUGAAACCAGGAGACAGAGGUUGCAGUGAGCAAGAUCAUGCCACUGCACUCCAGCCUGGGCGACAGAGCAAGACUCUGUCUCAAAAGAAAAAAAAAUGUAGAUUCUCAUGAUUUUUUAUUUUACAAAACAAUAUGAUUAUUAAUAAAACAGUUUGACUUUUUUCCUUCCA